UACGUAGGGUGCGAGCGUUGUCCGGAAUUAUUGGGCGUAAAGGGCUCGUAGGCGGUUUGUCGCGUCGGGAGUGAAAACUCAGGGCUUAACCCUGAGCCUGCUUCCGAUACAGGCAGACUAGAGGUAUGCAGGGGAGAACGGAAUUCCUGGUGUAGCGGUGAAAUGCGCAGAUAUCAGGAGGAACACCGGUGGCGAAGGCGGUUCUCUGGGCAAUAACUGACGCUGAGGAGCGAAAGCGUGGGGAGCGAACAGG
rnacentral:rRNA from 1 species